UGAAGAGUCUAGAAGUCUGUGUUUCAGUCCAAAACCUGCCAAUAAUGCUGGAAAACCUUAGAAGGUCAACAAACCCUCCUGAGGUUAAAAUUCUUCACCCCUCAAAAAGACAGGGACUUUCUGAGCCUCCUGCCCCAUAAGAUUGUCGUCAGUUUCAGACAAGAACCAAGUUGGUAAAUGCAGUUUAAAACCUACCAUGAGCCAGAGCAAAGGAAGGAAGUUUCCAAUUUUCUAUAGAUAUUUCACAUCAGACAUCAUGCAGUUUCAGUAUACUUAGUUUCCUU
rnacentral:lncRNA from 10 species